CGCGUAGGCGGGUGCUCAAGUCCGGGGUGAAAUCCUCCAGCUCAACUGGAGAACUGCCUCGGAUACUGGGUGUCUCGAGGGUGGUAGGGGUAUGCGGAACUAUCGGUGGAGCGGUGAAAUGCGUUGAUAUCGAUAGGAACUCCGGUGGCGAAGGCGGUAUACUGGACCACCUCUGACGCUGAGGCGCGAAAGCCAGGGGAGCAAACG
rnacentral:rRNA from 1 species